AGAGUUUGAUCCUGGCUUAGGAUGAACGCUAGCUACAGGCUUAACACAUGCAAGUCGAGGGGCAGCAUGAAGUUUGCUGCAAACUUGAUGGCGACCGGCGCACGGGUGAGUAACGCGUAUCCAACCUUCCCUAUAGUAGAGGAUAGCCCGGCGAAAGUCGGAUUAAUACUCUAUGUUGUAUUUUUGCGGACAUCUAAUGAAUACCAAAGGUUUACCGCUAUAGGAUGGGGAUGCGUCUGAUUAGGUAGUCGGCGGGGUAACGGCCCACCGAGCCGUCGAUCAGUAGGGGUUCUGAGAGGAAGGUCCCCACAUUGGAACUGAGACACGGUCCAAACUCCUACGGGAGGCAGCAGUGAGGAAUAUUGGUCAAUGGGCGAGAGCCUGAACCAGCCAAGUAGCGUGCAAGGACGACGGCCCUAUGGGUUGUAAACUGCUUUUAUACAGGGAUAAAGUGCAUCACGUGUGGUGUUUUGUAGGUACUGUAUGAAUAAGGACCGGCUAAUUCCGUGCCAGCCGCAGC
rnacentral:rRNA from 1 species